rnacentral:rRNA from 1 species
UACGAAGGGGGCUAGCGUUGCUCGGAAUGACUGGGCGUAAAGGGCGCGUAGGCGGCCUGCUAAGUCGGACGUGAAAUCCCCGGGCUCAACCCGGGAACUGCGUCCGAUACUGGUGGGCUUGAAUUCGGGAGAGGGAUGCGGAAUUCCAGGUGUAGCGGUGAAAUGCGUAGAUAUCUGGAGGAACACCGGUGGCGAAGGCGGCAUCCUGGACCGAUAUUGACGCUGAGGCGCGAAAGCCAGGGGAGCAAACGGG